rnacentral:rRNA from 1 species
GCAAGUCGAACGGUAACAGGAAUUAGCUUGCUUCCGCUGACGACCGGCGCACGGGUGCGUAACGCGUAUAGAACCUACCUUUUACAGAGGGAUAGCCUUUAGAAAUGAAGAUUAAUACCUUAUGGUAUUAUAGAUUCGCAUGAAUUUAUAAUUAAAGAUUUAUCGGUAAAAGAUGGCUAUGCGUCCUAUUAGCUAGAUGGUAAGGUAACGGCUUACCAUGGCGACGAUAGGUAGGGGUCCUCAGAGGGAGAUC